rnacentral:ncRNA from 1 species
GAUAUAGGCAAACUUGUUGAAAGGCAAGGACGCAAAGCCAUAAGGGGCUAAGGUAAGGGAGUUAUCUUGCUAUGCCAGCCGGCUGCAG